GAUACAAGGAGAUGCACUUUCCCUUGGAUUUUAUCGGCCGUUCUGCUACGCGGAUGUGAGAUCCUAAUCUUUAGUAGACUUCAAAUUCAACGAUGAUCGAAAAAGUACGUUUACUUCCUAGUUGAAUUAAAUUGUCGGAAGUGUAUCAGUUGGGCUUUAUUGUUUACAACUACAAUAUUUCAACAUUAAUGGAAUAAAUAGAUAAUAAAGAGAUCUUGAAUCGUGACCAUUUUGUAAAAAAGAAGAAUUUAGUGGAUACUAAUGAGAAAAUAUCUUCUUAUAUAAGGAUUAAACUGAAUAUUUCUACCGUGAUAUAUUUUUAAGCAUUAAGAAGAGACUAUGAGAAUAGAAAGCUGUGUGAAUAAGAAGAGUACAAUUGACAAGUAAGAUGGGGUGAUGGUGAUUCCUUGUAACAUGAUAGAAGAUACAACUAAUUAACUAUAUUAUGUAUGCGUGACUUCGAAAAAGCGGAUUCACGGAUAUACAUAUUAUAUCCGCUUUCGGAUGAUACUUAAUAUAGAGAGUCAACAACUCUCGAUACGGUAAAUGCGGAUGAUUCACUUUCUCUGAUACAGUUAGAGGAAUGAAAUUACACACUUUAAAACGACAAAAACAAAAACAAAAUGAAGGGAAUAACAAAAAUCCGUAAUUUUAUUUACUUUCUAUUUAAACAAAGAUUCAAACAUUUCAGUGGAGAAUAAAAAUAAAUUGAAAUGAAAAUAAACACGUGAAACUAUUUCAAAAAGACAAAGUAAAACGUUAAAGGAUCCUUUCGAGUAUUUAAGGAUCACAAACCCUCAUCGAGUAUCCAAACUUGAUAUCCUCGAAGGUAACAAAAAAAGGAGUAAAAUAAAAAAAGAUGGGUCGAUAAUGAAACUAAGGUCGACAAGUUUUCGAGUGUGAAAGUUAAUGUGCAUCGUUUGAUUCUCCUUUAUCGGAAAAUUUCCGCAUAUUCCGAAUACGUGACCGGUCCAUGCCCAACGUGCUGAUUUUAUUUAAGUGUCCAUUGAACCCGAUAAUAUUGGAUGAAACAACAUUGUGCAAAAUAAUUGUGUUGGAUACUAUCUAGUCAUUUUGAUUUAUCGUAAUCUUUUUAUCCUUGAAAAUUUAUCAGUGGUGACAAAUCGAUAACGAAUAAUACAAUGAUAGACAUAUU